rnacentral:lncRNA from 1 species
GUAGUAUUGCUGUGGAGCUCUGUUAUACACUCAGACACAUUACUGGGAGUAGUAUUGCUGUGGAGCUCUGUUAUACACUCAGACACAUUACUGGGAGUAUUAUUGCUGUGGAGCUCUGUUAUACACUCAGACACAUUACUAGGAGUAUUAUUGCUGUGGAGCUCUGUUAUACACUCAGACACAUUACUAGGAGUAUUAUUGCUGUGGAGCUCUGUUAUACACUCAG